GCAGAACGCGAAGAACCUUACCUGGCCUUGACAUGUACGGAACUUUCCAGAGAUGGAUUGGUGCCCGGAAGGGAGCCGUAACACAGGUGCUGCAUGGCUGUCGUCAGCUCGUGUCGUGAGAUGUUGGGUUAAGUCCCGCAACGAGCGCAACCCUUGCCAUUAAUUGCCAUCAUUUAGUUGGGCACUUUAAUGGGGCUGCCGGUGACAAACCGGAGGAAGGUGGGGAUGACGUCAAGUCCUCAUGGCCCUUAUGGCCAGGGCUUCACACGUAAUACAAUGGUCGGUACAGAGGGUAGCCAACCCGCGAGGGGGAGCCAAUCCCAGAAAGCCGAUCGUAGUCCGGAUUGCAGUCUGCAACUCGACUGCAUGAAGUCGGAAUCGCUAGUAAUCGCGGAUCAGCAUGUCGCGGUGAAUACGUUCCCGGGUCUUGUACACACCG
rnacentral:rRNA from 1 species